CGCUGGCGGCGUGCUUAACACAUGCAAGUUGAAGCGCCUUCCUUUUUGGUGGGUGUGGAUGAGUGGCGAACGGGUGAGUAACACGUGAGUAACCUGCCCCCUUCUUCUGGAUAACCGCAUGAAAGUGUGGCUAAUACGGGAUAUUCUGUGCCUGCUGCAUGGUGGGUGUGGGAAAGAUUGUGCCUUUGGGUGUUUUYGGUGGGGGAUGGGCUCGCGGCCUAUCAGCUUGUUGGUGGGGUGAUGGCCUACCAAGGCGGUGACGGGUAGCCGGCCUGAGAGGGUGGACGGUCACACUGGGACUGAGACACGGCCCAGACUCCUACGGGAGGCAGCAGUGGGGAAUAUUGCACAAUGGGCGCAAGCCUGAUGCAGCGACGCCGCGUGAGGGAUGGAGGCCUUCGGGUUGUGAACCUCUUUCGCCAGUGAAGCAGGCCUGCCCCUUGGUGGGUGGGUUGACGGUAGCUGGAUAAGAAGCGCCGGCUAACUACGU
rnacentral:rRNA from 1 species